GGCCGGCCCCCAUCCCCUCCAACGUUUUUAAAUGAAAACAAAGGACGAAAAAUUAGUGGCACAAUUUCUUAGUUGCUCUACAGACUGUUAAUGAGAUUUAGUUGCAUAUGGUUCAGCAAAAGAGGAAAUGGCUCACACAGAUACUGAAAAAAUACUCUUCUAACACAAAUAGAUGUGAUGCAUAUGAUUUUUAAGGCUAAAUCAACUGAUAAAUUAAAAUUUACAACUCUU